CAGUUACUCACGGAAGCGCUGGGACGGGUGGUGAGGGGCCCGGGCAGGUGGCGCGCCUUACAGCGGACGGUGUUCGUGCUGCUUUCCGUGCCGUGGUUUCUGAAAGAUACAGACCAGAAGAGGAGUUUGGGGCUUGACACCUGACAUCUUAACACCAGUUCCUGUUUCUUGAGGAAGGAAGAGGUAAAAUAAAUCAGCGUUUUCUGUGUCCUUCUCCAUCCCCGGAAGUCCUCAUGAAGACCCUCUCAGCUUCAACUUGAACGUGAAUAUGAGCAGCUGAUCAUCUGUUCUGCAGUCAGCCCCUGGCCAGAUUCUGACUCAUGAUAUUGACCUUCUCCAUCAUCACCUUCCACAAAUUUGAUUCCUGUCUAUUCUGCCUGGAAUGGUGCACGAGUAUAGUCACCGUUUAUGCUCCUGAUGAAAGGUACGGCGCCUCUAUAAAAGUCCUCCCUUCAAAGAGAGUUAAAAGAGAUGAGCAUUUCUCCUGUUUGAAUGUUUACUUGUUAAAUAUGGUAAGAAAAUCACCGGCGUAGAAGAAAUCUUUAGGAGAAGUUUCAGACUGUUAAAAAGGUUCAGGGAAAUGAGGACAUUUACAUGUUCCAAAGGAGGAAAUUCACUUGGCAUUCAACAUAUCAAUGCCACGAAAAAAUUAACUUGAAGAUUCUUUGUUUACAAAUAUGAAACCCCACAAUACUAUUUUCAAAGGGCGUGAACUUUUGUUACAAGGCACUACUAUCACUAGAAUGGGACCUUUGGUGACACAAACCGUUUGCUCUCUACAGAUAAAUGAAGGGUUAGUGGUUCCAACUCACACAGGUGCGUCCUGAAAGAGAGGCCUUGCUUCUGCUUUCAUAAUGAUUACAGCCAAGAAUACUCUAUGGAGUGCAGCUUUACUCUGUAACACAUGGUAUAGCCAUGAGUCAGAAUCCACUGCUUGGAAAUGGCUAUUAUCAUUGGUACCAUUUUGCAGAGAUUUUAUUGCUCACAGCAAUGCCCCCAAAAAUAUGGUAGCUUUGGUGGAAAGAGAGAAGGGACGAGGUCUGCAGAGGUGGAGGAUGCUGGUGAUGGAGAGGCCUCCAGGGAUUCCUGAGACCAGAGCCUUGGGCUCCUAUAUGAAGAUCAGGGCCAUGAGAGCUCAUAUAAAUUAACUAUUCUCAGAGGUCUCUAUCCAAAAGGAAAAUGCCCAAGAAUCCACAACAUCUCAAGCAAAAAACCCAAGCUCUAGGGCCAGAAAGACUCCACUACCAUCAAAGAGGCCUUUUCCCUCAGCUUCCACUGAGCAGAUAUCUCAUUCAUCCAGCUAAGGGGCUACCCCAGAGAAGCGAUGGGUAAGGUGUGUAUAUUUCACCCAGGUGCACACGGUCAAGGGGGUGGCUGUGUCCUGGCAGACCAAAACCUCCUUUGCCCCCGUGGAACAGAUGCCCCAAGUCUUUGAGGCCGAGCUCUCUGAGUAGAGCACCGUCGCCGUGCCCCCAGUCUGGCCAACACUGAGUCCCUGGUAAGCACCCUGGGGCCUUGGAAGGAGGGGCCCCAGGCCCGCACCACUGAGCCCAGAGUCUGAGGAGAGGAGCAUGGGGAAAGCCUCCACGCAGUCACCCUGGAGUGGCUAGUGACCCAUGAGCGCAGCUUCCACUGCUUGGCCUGCUGCCUUGUGUUCAAGUCCCAGGAGGCCCUGGUGGCUCACAUGGAGCAUGGAAUGAGCCAGGGCUUCAGCAACCAGGUCCUCUGUGAAGAGCUGCUGGAAAAGGAACUGCCACCCUCACCCCCAUGCAAGCCCAGAGGCUGCCACCAGCUGGCCAAGGCCACUUGAUGGCCUCCAAGAAGAGGGAGGUGUGGGAGAGGAGUGCCGUCUGCAGGAGCUGGAGGGGCAGCUGGAGAAGCAGAGAGAGCAGCUGAGGAGGUUGAGGCACCAGCUGGUGAGGUUGCAGAGGCAGGAGGCCAGGCUACAGAGGGUGGGGGCACAGCACUGAAGCCAGAGGAGGAAGAGCCUGAAGACCUGCUAGCAACUUGGGACUGGGAGGAGCAGGGCAUUUGUGCUGGGAAAUGUGGGUCGUCUCAUCAGCUGCUACCCAAAAGAUAUGUGGCCCACGGAAGAAAGGCCUGGCAAUCUACUUCUGUACUAUCACAGUCAUUGAAAACUCUGUGCAGUGCAGUUCUACUCUGAAACACCUGGGUUCACCAUGCAUUGAAAUCAACAAGACAGUAGGUUUUUGUUCUGUUAAGGCCUCUGUUCAGGCUCCUUUAACCCACCUGCCUGUAAGAACCUCUCCUCCCAGCCUGUGCCCCAAUCCAACUACUCCAAGUGCAUGGAGAGCUGCAAUCCUAGGGGGACCUGGAAAGAAGGAGCCCCAGAACACCUGACUGCAGACACCAGGUCUGCUCAGAGGUUCCCCUAGCCUAGGAGAGGAGAGGACAGGCCUGAUCUGGAUGGUGAGGUCUCAGAACUCUGAGAAUGAGCACAGCAUAAGGAGGGGGGGAGAAAUGGGAUUUCAGUGGGACUUGGGAGGCUGAGGGGGACUCUGCAAAGACAGCUCCAACGGAAGUGUGCUGGUGAACGGGGUGUCACUGAGUUCUUUGCAUAGAAGGAACCAGAGAGAGAGUAGGCUGUGGCGAGACCUGCCUGUAGGUGAGCAGUGGGCGUAAGGCCCUACCCAAGGACUCUGGGUCACUUCUCAUCAUCCUCCAAGCAUAGAAAGGAGGAGGUCCUGGUUGGGCAAAGAGGAGGAGGUGGUGAAAUAAAGAGCUCACCGCAUUCAAGUCUACUGCCCUCACUGGGGGAAUUUGGGUUUAUUGCUGUGAUUUAGUGUUGCCUCUUUGGAGGAAACCCUCAUGGCGUAUUGGUUAAGUGCCACGGCUGCUAACCAAAGCGUCGGCAGUUCGAAUCCACCAGGUGCUCAUUGGAAACUCUAUGGGGCAGUUCUACUCUGUCCUGUAGGGUCACUAUGAGUCGGAAUUGACUUGGCGGCACUGGGUACUGGGCCUCUUUGGACUGGAGUGGGAGAUGGUUUAGAAAAACUCUCCUGGGUGUCCCUUUUCUGCAUAACAGUAGAUCUAGUAGUGUCUGCGUAACUCAUGCAAAGGAUGAGUUCCUAGGAUGUAAGGAAACUUUUUUUCUUUUAAAAAACCUUUUUCUGUUUGAUUUUGCACAUAUCAAUGACACUAGCUUGUUCUUUCUUUUUUUCUGUGGUAUAAUUUGGCCAAUCCUGGGGUCAGAGAACGGGAAGAAAAAGACUGGACUGGAAGUAUAGGAACAAAGGCAGACGAGGCCUCUUAACCCUGGGAGAACACAGAUGGUUAGAGGUGAGGCCAGCAAGGGGCAGAUUCAGGCCCAGACUGUAUAAUGAGCAGAAAAGCCCAAGUCUUAGACACAUCAUCAUGUCCCACACCCUGGAAGAUGCCAGGGGCAUGUUGACCCUCCUGGGAGAUAAGACCCCAAAUGGCACAGGGAAGCCUUCAGGAGCAAGGAAGGGAGGGCAGGGCCUCCAGGAUGGGCAUCUCCAUCCACAGGCUGCCCUGUGUAUAUUUCUCAGUGACAGUAAUGGCUCCUGCGAGGGACGGGGUCAGAGGCAGACAGAAGCGAGAGCUUUGAAAAAUUUGAGACAGGGUUAAUUCUGCCAGUACCAGAGGAUGAAAAACGAAAGCCUGUGGUUCUCAGGGGUACAGACCUGCCAGGGGCCUGAUGUAUACAGGGUGGGCAGAGGUGUCUGGAGAGGCCCACCUGUCUAAAGACUUAUGGCCAUAGUCUUCAUUAUCCUAAAAGCAGCAAUUUCCCAGUUAAUUUCCUCUACGUUUAAACCAAAGCCAAACCCAUUGCCAUUGAGUCCUGAUAAAAGGCCUGGAGUGCGCAAGGGUAGGUUUUCCAGUAGAGCGAUGAGGGGAGGAAGAUGGUAAUACCAUACCAGACAAGGAGACUCUUCUUUGUGCCUUGUGUUACCUACUCAAUUGCACAUGGUGUUCAGCCCUCAUCUUUGCGUGUACACGUGUACAUGCAUUAAGAGUUACUAUAUUGACCUCGCAGAAUUCUUUUUGGUCCUUUCUAGGGAUAGAGAUCAGAAGAGGUCACUGGCUUCAUAUACCAAACAUGAAAUCUGCAGUCUGACUUUUGUACAGUCUGUGUUUGUGUUCUCUAUCCAGGGAUUAAAAUCUCUGAUCUGACAUUAAAGAUUGUUUUUUUUUCCUGCAAGAAAAAGAGGAAGACCCUCAACAAGAUGGAUUAACACAAUGGCUGCAACAAUGGGAUCAAACAGCAACAAUUGUGAGGAUGGCGCAGGAUGGGGUAGUAUUUCCUACUGUUGUACAUAAGGUCAUUAUGAGUCGGAACCAACUUGAUGGCACCUAACAGCAACAACAACAUAAAAAAAUAGUUUUAAAAACAUACAUGUCAUAUUUUACGACUUGCACAUAUCUUAUAAUCUUAUUAUGACAUACGUAACAGUACAAAUUUGUAAAGAAGUUAUAAUACAAGCCAUCCCUACAUGUGUGUGAUGCUCCUGCUCCCCCAAGGUGUCCAGUGUUCAAAGACACAUGUGUGUUCUUCCUUACAUUUCUCUUUUCUGGGACACAUGUUACAGUCGUACAUAUCCAUGUAGAUCUAUUUGCAUGUUUGCUGUUACAGAACCUUCAACACGGUCUACCCACAUUGCUCCUUGCCCCUUUUUUCACUUGACAUUUGAUCAUGGCUCCCCUGUAAGUCAGUAGAUAUGGAACUAAUGCUGCUUAGUUCUUCUAAUUUUUUAACUCGUAUUUAUACAUAAAGAAUGUAAAUAAAUGGGAACAAUGACAAUGUGCAACCUAUACACUUUCAUAUAACUCUACAGAAAUGAAAACACAUAGCAGCUAUGAUCUUUAAAAAAAACCCACUGCCAAUGAGUCAAUUAAGCAUAGUUUUUUCAGUAUGUUCUAGCUCCCCACCCCUUGUCCCUUCCCAUAACUGAAUCUAAGAUAGUUCAUAUCAACAAUCAGGUAAGUGUUCUAUCUUAUUAUUCUUGCUUAAACUAUCAUACUCACACAUGCAAAUAACCACAUCUACUCAUUUAUGGAUAUAUAUAUGCUUGGAUUCAAAUACAUUUGGUUAUUUGUUAUUGUUUUACCCAUAUGGGCUCACUUUAUAUAUAUACUUCUCUCUGUCUUGGUUUUUUUUCUUCAAUGAUACUUCACAGUGAUUUCACUUACUAAUCUUCUAUAGCUCUGUUUCAUUCUAAUGACUACCAUAUAUUAUUAUAUGAUAUGGUUAUUAUAUUAUUAUUGUAAUAUUACUGGAAUAUUUGAAUAUUAUGCAUUAAAAUUUUAUUAUAAUAUCACAUCCUUAAUGGGCAAUAAUUUUAUUUUUCCUUUUUUGUCUUUAACAAUAACCAUCCUUUGCAUAUACUACAUGGAGCCCUGGUGGCACAGUGGUUAAGAGCCCAGCUGCUAACCAAAAGGUUGGCAGUUCGAAUCCACCAGCUGCUCCCUGAAAACUGUAUGAGGCAGUUCUACUGUGUCCUGCAGGGUUACUAUGUACUACAAGAUUUGUAUCUGUGGGGUAGAUUCUAAUGAGUGAGAUUUCCAGUUCAAAGAAUGUUUUAAAAAGUAUAGAGCCAUGUCUAUGUCUUUCCCCUAAAAGUCUGUAGUAACGCACCUGUCUUUGUCAUCUAGUGCUGCUAUAACAAAAGUACCACAAGUGGAUAGCUUUAACAAAGAGAAUUUAUUCUCUCACUAUCUAGUAGGCUACAAGCCCAAAUUCAGGGUGGCUAUCUAUCUCUGUUAGCUCUGGAGAAAGGUCCUUGUCAUCACUCUUUCCUUGGUCUGGGAGCUUCUCAGUGCGGGAAUCUCAGGUCAAUUGCUUCCCUUUCCUUUUAUCUCUUGUAAGGUAAAAGGUGGUGCAGGCCACACGCCGGGGAAACUCCGUUUACACUGGAUCAUAGUAAGGGUGUUAAAAUCCCACCCUAAUCCUCUUUAAUGUAAAAUUACAAUCAAAAGUGGAGGACAAUUACACAAUACUGGGAAUCAUGGCCCAGACAAAUUGAUAUAUACCUUUUGGAGGGGACAUAAUUCCAUCCAUGACAGCACCUUUCCAGCCAUGUCUGAGGGCAUCCUUCUCCCCACAGCCCAGCCAGCCAUAAGUGGUGUUGAUUUUUCAAUUGUGCCGGUUUCACUGGGAUUUUGACUGACAUUUUCUUAACUAUCAGUGUUUUUGAAACUUUGAUUAUUUUUAUUGGGGAUUUGGAUAUUUUCUGAAUGGUCGGUAAUUGCUCAUUACCGACAGUUCUGAUGAGGGUCACAAUACAUAGAUGCUGAAAAAGUGGGAGAAAAAUGAAGAACAGAGCUCAGAUUAUUAAAAAGUCCAGACUUACCGGACCAGUUGAGACUAUAUAUAUACUUAUAAUACAAACCAUCCCUGAGAUACUCUUUAAACCUUGUACUGAAACUAUUCCCUGAGUUCAUCUUUUAGCGAAAUAGCAGACUGGCACACAAAAUAAAGGGUAUUAUCCAUCAGUAUGGCACUCCAUUAAAAAACCAUUAUGUGCAGCCAAAAUGUCAACCAUUACUCUAAAGCAAAGAUGAGAUGAUAAGGGGGCAGGGAAACUAGAGUACUGGAAAUGGAACAACCGGAACACAAUUAAAGACACUGUUGACACGCUGUGAAAGAUCUGAAUGAUUUUUGUAGAAAUUGUCAGAUGGGAACCUAAUUUGCUGCGUAAAGUUUCACCAAAAACAUAAUAAAAUAUUAUUUAAAAAAAUCAUUGCUCAUUUUCCAAGUGCCAAAUUUUUGUGUCUCCUUCAUCUAAAGUAGGAAUAGUUAUUAGUCCUUUGUCAUCUAUGUUUCAAAUUUUUAAAUCUUUUGCUUGUUUAUCUCUUCUUUUUUCUU